rnacentral:rRNA from 1 species
UACGUAGGGUGCGAGCGUUAAUCGGAAUUACUGGGCGUAAAGCGUGCGCAGGCGGUUCGUUGUGUCGGCGGUGAAAGCCCCGGGCUCAACCUGGGAAUGGCCGUUGAAACUGGCGAACUGGAGUGUGGCAGAGGGGGUGGAAUUCCGCGUGUAGCAGUGAAUGCGUAGAGAUGCGGAGGAACACCGAUGGCGAAGGCAGCCCCCUGGGCUAACACUGACGCUCAGGCACGAAAGCGUGGGAGCAAACAGG